rnacentral:lncRNA from 1 species
UUCCCCGUGGAGAAAAUAAAUUAGGAUUUUUAUUUUGACUGCUGCUCUCUAUAACAGGUAGUUGUUUAGCAACAAAUAACCAAUCAUAACCCUGAAUAGCGCCUGCUUCAUUAAAUAUUUGUGAGUUUAGUACAGUCACAGAAACUCUUGCAUUGUAUUUAAUUUCAACGUUUGAGGGGAAAAUACAUAGUUCAAACAGAAAUUAAUGGAAAAUGCAUUGAUAGCAUUGCAGAAUUGACCAAAUUAUUCUUACAAAAAGCCUAUUCCGGACAGAGUGGAUGGUACAUUGAGGAACGAGACGAGUCGAUAUUUAAACGAAGCGCGCAGGCUGUGUUCCUCCAAUCAAUAUCGACAAAUAUCCAAAAAAGAAUGUUAACCCAGAGUUUAAUGGGUUAACAAUUUUAAGUGCAAAAAGUCAUACUGUAUCAGCUGUCCGUUUUUUCCCUUCAUUUUUUUCUCUUUUUUUUUUUCUAAACAAAAAUUACUCCAAAGGCCUAAUAUAUGGUUAGAUGAACGGACUCUAAACAUCAUCAAAACUAGUUUGAUUUUGGAACCUUUAAUACAUUUCUUAAACUGAAAAACAAAUGUAAAUGUAAUGUAGAUGACCUUUAAAACAGAUAAAAAUGCAUAGCUAAAAUAUUCAACAGAUCGCAAGAUCUGGAGAGCGUUGACGAAUUGGCUCUGAAAAUAGAGCCUCUAAUGUAUUAUACAGGUGAAGGAGGUGGGAAUGACAUGAGAGAAUGUCCAGAUGGAAAAUAGAAAUGCUAAUAUAGCCUAUCACGAGCAAAGAAAUGCAAAAUGGAGUGAACAGAUGUUUCACUCCGAGAGGUAUGAAGGGCUCUAAACAGGCGGACACACAAAACUAUUAUGUUCCUGGAGCAUAGAUACAAUAUGUCCGACAAAAUGUAACGAAAGAUUCAACAGUCUUGAAAAAGCAGGCUUGAAAAGGCAAAACAAUGCAUGCUAGUAUUAUCGUAGCACAAGGAAAAGCAUAGGUGAAUAUUUGAAUAUGAUGGCUAUCAUGUAAUUUACCA